rnacentral:rRNA from 1 species
CCUACGGGAGGCAGCAGUGGGGAAUAUUGCACAAUGGGGGAAACCCUGAUGCAGCGACGCCGCGUGAGUGAAGAAGUAAUUCGUUAUGUAAAGCUCUAUCAGCAGGGAAGAAAAUUACGGUACCUGACUAAGAAGCCCCGGCUAACUACGUGCCAGCCGCCGCGGUAAUACGUAGGGGGCAAGCGUUAUCCGGAUUUACUGGGUGUAAAGGGAGCGUAGACGGUCCUGCAAGCCAGAUGUGAAAGCCCGGGGCUCAACCCCGGGACUGCAUUUGAAACUGUAAGGCUAGAGUGGCGGAGAGGCAGGCGGAAUUCCUAGUGUAGCGGUGAAAUGCGUAGAUAUUAGGAGGAACACCAGUGGCGAAGGCGGCCUGCUGGACGAUGACUGACGUUGAGGCUCGAAAGCGUGGGGAGCAAACAGGAUUAGAUACCCGAGUAGUC